rnacentral:rRNA from 1 species
UCCAGACUCCUACGGGAGGCAGCAGUGGGGGAUAUUGCACAAUGGGGGAAACCCUGAUGCAGCGACGCCGCGUGGGUGAAGAAGUAUUUCGGUAUGUAAAGCCCUAUCAGCAGGGAAGAAAGAAGACGGUACCUGACUAAGAAGCCCCGGCUAACUACGUGCCAGCAGCCGCGGUAAUACGUAGGGGGCGAGCGUUAUCCGGAUUCACUGGGUGUAAAGGGAGCGUAGACGGCCGUGCAAGCCAGGAGUGAAAGCCCGGGGCCCAACCCCGGGACUGCUCUUGGAACUGUGCGGCUAGAGUGCGGGAGGGGCAGGCGGAAUUCCUGGUGUAGCGGUGAAAUGCGUAGAUAUCAGGAGGAACACCGGUGGCGAAGGCGGCCUGCUGGACUGCGACUGACGUUGAGGCCCGAAAGCGUGGGGAGCAAACAGGAUUAGAUACCCGAGUA